GGAGAAUUAGCUCAGCUGGGAGAGCGUCUGCCUUACAAGCAGAAUGUCGGGGGUUCGAGCCCCUCAUUCUCCA
rfam:Aerococcus urinae ACS-120-V-Col10a, complete genome.